rnacentral:lncRNA from 1 species
AGUAUCAGGGUUGUAGGAUAGGGGCCCCUACAGUUUUUCGUACUACUCACCCGGGGUUGGGUGAGGCUUGGCAGAGCAAUCCAUAGAUGAUUUGUGUAUUGGAUUGUGUCUCCCUUAUUGUAGUUAUUUAUGGUAGUUACUGUCUAAUAUUGUUGCAUGCUAUUUUAUUUAUUUAUUUAUAUUUAUGGUUUUUAUGUUUAGAUAAAUUUUUAUGCUAU